rnacentral:sRNA from 2 species
CCGCUAAUAUGCCUACACAGAGAGUUGUUAUUUGCCAUUGAAUGCCCUGCCGGCCCUGGAACCCUGGCUACAUACAACAUUCAACACGAGUAUCUGUUCCUUGUAUUAUUCGUAAGGACUUGUUAUUUUUCACCACCUCUGGACGAGAUCUUCCUCGUUGAGGCUAGCAGCGGUUUCACCGUUUGUGUCGCCCCAAAAAGUCCCAGCAGCCAUGCUCCCACCACAACAGAACAGAUUAAAGAUCCCACCCGAUGGAAGCAAUACAAAAGGGCGACAUAUCGGAUCUAGCAAUGCCCUCCUCGGGAAAGAAACAACUGCACCGAAAAUAGGACUAAAGAGGCAAUACUCCUUCGCCAACUUCUACCCAGCUUUCGUUUGCGCAAAGCCCGCUUGGGGGUUUGUUGAGCAUCUCUCGAGCCAAAAAAAAAAUGACGUUGUCCCC